GUCACUUUGGCAGCACCUCUACUCACACUGGAAUGACACAGAGAUUAAGCAUGGCCCCUGCACAAGGAGAACACACAAAUUCGUGAAGCAUUCCUAAUUUUU
ensembl:snRNA U6 U6 spliceosomal RNA